rnacentral:rRNA from 1 species
CCUACGGAUGGCAGCAGUGAGGAAUAUUGGUCAAUGGGCGGAAGCCUGAACCAGCCAAGUCGCGUGAGGGAAUAAGGCCCUACGGGUCGUAAACCUCUUUUGCCGGGGAGCAAGGGCGGGGACGUGUCCCGGCCCGGAGAGUACCCGGAGAAAAAGCAUCGGCUAACUCCGUGCCAGCAGGCGCGGGAAUAAGGAGGAUGAGAGCGUUAGCAGGAUUUAUUUGGUUUAAAGGGUGCGUAGGCGGGCUGUUAACUCAGCGGUAAAAAUUCGGGGGUCAACCCCGUCCGGCCGUUGAAACUGGGGGCCUUGGGUGGGCGAGAAGAAGGCGGAAUGCGUGGUGUAGCGGUGAAAUGCAUAGAUAUCACGCAGAACCCCGAUUGCGAAGGCAGCCUUCCGGCGCCCUACUGACGCUGAGGCACGAAAGUGCGGGGAUCGAACAGGAUUAGAUACCCGGGUAGUC